AGAGUUUGAUCCUGGCUCAGGACGAACGCUGGCGGCGUGCCUAACACAUGCAAGUCGAACGGAGAAUUUUAUUUCGGUAGAAUUCUUAGUGGCGAACGGGUGAGUAACGCGUAGGCAACCUACCCUUUAGACGGGGACAACAUUCCGAAAGGAGUGCUAAUACCGGAUAAGAUCAUCUUCCCGCAUGGGAGGGUGAAGAAAGAUGGCCUCUACAAGUAAGCUAUCGCUAAAGGAUGGGCCUGCGUCUGAUUAGCUAGUUGGUAGUGUAACGGACUACCAAGGCGAUGAUCAGUAGCCGGUCUGAGGGGAUGAACGGCCACAUUGGGACUGAGACACGGCCCAAACUCCUACGGGAGGCAGCAGUGGGGAAUCUUCCGCAAUGGACGAAAGUCUGACGGAGCAACGCCGCGUGAGUGAUGAAGGAUUUCGGGUUGUAAACCCCUUUUGCGGGGGACGAAACUGACGGUACCCCGCGAAGAAGCCUCGGCUAACUCCGUGCCAGCCGCCGCGGUAAUUC
rnacentral:rRNA from 1 species